rnacentral:rRNA from 1 species
UACGUAGGGCGCAAGCGUUUAUCCGGAAUUAUUGGGCGUAAAGAGCGCGUAGGCGGCCUGAUAAGUAGGGGGUGAAAUCCUGCGGCUUAACCGCAGGGCUGCCUUCUAAACUGUCAGGCUGGAGCACAGUAGAGGCAGGUGGAAUUCCCAGUGUAGCGGUGGAAUGCGUAGAGAUCGGGAAGAACAUCAGUGGCGAAGGCGGCCUGCUGGGCUGUUGCUGACGCUGAGGCGCGACAGCGUGGGGAGCAAACAGG